AGUUGAUAGAGAAAGCAGAAUUUCUAGUGUAGAGGUGAAAUUCGUAGAUAUUAGAAAGAAUACCAAUUGCGAAGGCAGCUUUCUGGAUCAUUACUGACACUGAGGAACGAAAGCAUGGGUAGCGAAGAGGAUUAGAUACCCUCGUAGUCCAUGCCGUAAACGAUGUGUGUUAGACGUUGGAAAUUUAUUUUCAGUGUCGCAGCGAAAGCGAUAAACACACCGCCUGGGGAGUACGACCGCAAGGUUAAAACUCAAAUGAAUUGACGGGGACCCGCACAAGUAGUGGAGCAUGUGGUUUAAUUCGAAGAUACGCGCAGAACCUUACCAACACUUGACAUGUUCGUCGCGACUUUAAGAGAUUAAAGUUUUCGGUUCGGCCGGACGAAACACAGGUGCUGCAUGGCUGUCGUCAGCUCGUGUCGUGAGAUGUUGGGUUAAGUCCCGCAACGAGCGCAACCCUCACUUUUAGUUGCCAUCAUUUAGUUGGGCACUCUGAAAGAACUGCCAGUGAUAAGCUGGAGGAAGGUGGGGAUGACGUCAAGUCCUCAUGGCCCUUACGUGUUGGGCUACACACGUGCUACAAUGGUAUCUACAACAGGAAGCAAAACAGCGAUGUUAAGCAAAUCCUUAAAAGAUACCUCAGUUCGGAUUGCACUCUGCAACUCGAGUGCAUGAAGCUGGAAUUACUAGUAAUCGUGGAUCAGCGUGCCACGGUGAAUGCGUUCCCGGGUCUUGUACACACCGCCCGUCACACCAUGGGAGUUGGUUCUACCUUAAGGCAAGGUUUAAUACCCUUGACCACGGUAUAGUCAGCGACUGGGGUGAAGUCGUAACAAGGUAGCCGUAGGGGAACCUGCGGCUG
rnacentral:rRNA from 1 species